rnacentral:lncRNA from 1 species
AGGAACCGCCGGGGGCCAUGGACGGAGCAGUGAUGGAAGGGCCGCUUUUUUUGCAGAGUCAGCGCUUUGGGACCAAGGUAGUCUGGCGCAUGGAUGCCGAACCUUAUCCGGGCUAGUAGUGGAGGUGGAGGAAGACCUGGGCCGUGCUCUACCCGGCCAGUCCCCACGGCGUAGCGCGGCUCGAGUUCUUUGACCAUAAGGGGUCGAGCUCUGGGGGUGGCCGAGGGAGCUCGCGCCGCCUGGACUGCAAAGUGAUCCGUCUGGCUGAGUGUGUGAGUGUGGCCCCCGUCACCGUGGAGACCCCCCCUGAGCCCGGCGCCACUGCCUUCCGCCUGGACACUGCUCAGCGCUCGCACCUGCUGGCGGCCGACGCGCCGUCCAGUGCAGCCUGGGUGCAGACGCUGUGCCGAAACGCCUUUCCGGUGAGGAGCUGCGGCGAUGCGGGGUGGGGGCAGUUACAGAGGCAGAGAAAUGGGGCUGCCUCAGACCGACCCCCGCUCCCCGCUGAGGAAAUUACGGGUUUCUCGAUGCUCUCUACUACAGAAAGGCAGCUGGACUCUGGCGCC